UUUGAACCAUUGAUGACUCUGUCCAACAGUUUGACUAUGAAAGCAUGCAAGUUAAUCUGCUUACCCCUCACAAGACACUUCAUGAGAACCAGGUCCAUGUAAUUUGCAGUGUGUCUCUUCUCCUUUCUAGGCAGCAGACACUUGUUCACAAACUCAAAGAUCACUUUAUGCUCUGGUUUCAUUUCACUCUUUUGAACAAAUCUUGCUUCAG
rnacentral:lncRNA from 1 species